rnacentral:rRNA from 1 species
GACAGAGGGUGCAAACGUUGUUCGGAAUUACUGGGCGUAAAGCGCGCGUAGGCGGCUACUUAAGUCGGAUGUGAAAGCCCUUGGCUCAACUGAGGAAGUGCACCCGAAACUGAGUGGCUUGAGUACUAAAGAGGGUCGCGGAAUUCCCGGUGUAGAGGUGAAAUUCGUAGAUAUCGGGAGGAACACCGGUGGCGAAGGCGGCGACCUGGGUAGAUACUGACGCUGAGGCGCGAAAGCGUGGGGAGCAAACAGG